CAGCCGCCGCGGGAAUACGUAGGUCCCGAGCGUUGUCCGGAUUUAUUGGGCGUAAAGCGAGCGCAGGCGGUUAGAUAAGUCUGAAGUUAAAGGCUGUGGCUUAACCAUAGUACGCUUUGGAAACUGUUUAACUUGAGUGCAGAAGGGGAGAGUGGAAUUCCAUGUGUAGCGGUGAAAUGCGUAGAUAUAUGGAGGAACACCGGUGGCGAAAGCGGCUCUCUGGUCUGUAACUGACGCUGAGGCUCGAAAGCGUGGGGAGCAAACAGGAUUAGAUACCCCCGUAGUCCCUGUCUCUUAUACC
rnacentral:rRNA from 1 species